AAUCAACAAACCGAGAGUCCGAGACAAACAAGGGAAACGAAACAUCGCACUAAGGUCAUCUACGAACCCUAGGGGGUGAACAGGCUGAUCGAACCUCUCAGUCUUUCUACAUUGAGCCCAGCAUCCCGAUUGGUAGCAAAAACUAGCAAACGACGAGAUAGAGACACAAUACAAGCAGCGCGGUGCACUCUAAUAUCCACUAUUGCGGGCACGAUCGGAGAAUAAAAAACAAAAGGGAAUAUCUCGGCGUUCGAUACGAACCCCAGUGCUCAAAUAUUCCGUUAAUCAUGGCACGUCGAGGAAGAAAGGCAUGCGACGGGCUUCCCGGCUGCCGACUGCUUCUCUCUGGUCUCCGCCGCGCUGCUUCUCGAGAGGAGAGGGUUUUGCGAGCGGC
rnacentral:lncRNA from 7 species